rnacentral:rRNA from 1 species
CGUGUAGGCGGUUGGUUAAGUCGGGUGUGAAAGCCCGGGCUUAUCUUCGGAAGUGCAUCCGAAACUGGCCAACUAGAGCGCGGUAGGAGGAGGGUGGAAUUCCUGGUGUAGCGGUGAAAUGCGUAGAUAUCAGGAGGAACACCGGCGGCGAAGGCGGCCCUCUGGACCGUUGCUGGCGCUGAGACGCGAAAGCGUGGGGAGCAAACAGGAUUAGAUACCCUGGUAGUCCACGCUGUAAACUAUGGGUACUAGGUGUUCGGGUGUUGACCCCUGAGUGCCGACGCUAACGCAUUAAGUACCCCGCCUGGGGACUACGGCCGCAAGGUUAAA